CUACGUGCCAGCAGCCGCGGUAAUACGUAGGGUGCGAGCGUUAAUCGGAAUUACUGGGCGUAAAGCGAGCGCAGACGGUUACUUAAGCAGGAUGUGAAAUCCCCGGGCUCAACCUGGGAACUGCGUUCUGAACUGGGUAGCUAGAGUAUGUCAGAGGGGGGUAGAAUUCCACGUGUAGCAGUGAAAUGCGUAGAGAUGUGGAGGAAUACCGAUGGCGAAGGCAGCCCCCUGGGAUAAUACUGACGUUCAUGCUCGAAAGCGUGGGUAGCAAACAGGAUUAGAUACCCUGAUAGUCCACGCCCUAAACGAUGUCGAUUAGCUGUUGGGCAGCUUGACUGCUUAGUAGCGUAGCUAACGCGUGAAAUCGACCGCCUGGGGAGUACGGUCGCAAGAUUAAAACUCAAAGGAAUUGACGGGGACCCGCACAAGCGGUGGAUGAUGUGGAUUAAUUCGAUGCAACGCGAAGAACCUUACCUGGUCUUGACAU
rnacentral:rRNA from 1 species